GUAGCUCAAUUGGUAGAGCAGUGGCCUCUUAAGCCAUUGGUUGAAGGUUCGAGUCCUUCC
rnacentral:tRNA from 1 species